rnacentral:sRNA from 1 species
UGCGCCUGUGACGGAUCAGGCACGAUCCUGUGAUCGGCUUCGCAGGCAGCCGGAUCGUGUACGGUCUUGUACCUCCAAGAAUUUUCUUGGAUUUAACGAUUUCU